ACUCUCGGCAACGGAU
rnacentral:rRNA from 3 species